GUGCUCGCUUAACGGCAGCACAUAUACUAAAAUUGGAACGAUACAGAGAAGAUUAGCAUGGCCCCUGCGCAAAAGAAGGCGCCCACUCUUCUCUGUUUU